GAACUGCGAUAAGUAAUGUGAAUUGCAGAAUUCAGUGAAUCAUCGAGUCUUUGAACGCACAUUGUGCCCCCUGGCAUUCCGGGGGGCAUGCCUGUCCGAGCGUCAUUGCUGCCCUUCAAGCCCGGCUUGUGUGUUGGGUCGUCGUCCCCCCCGGGGGACGGACCCGAAAGGCAGCGGCGGCACCGUGUCCGGUCCUCGAGCGUAUGGGGCUUUGUCACCCGCUCGAUUAGGACCGGCCGGGCGCCCGCCGGCGUCAAACCCCAAUCUUUCUAAGGUUGACCUCGGAUCAGGUAGGGAUACCCGCUGAACUUAAGC
rnacentral:misc_RNA from 1 species